GAAGAUUAGCAUAACGUCUUCUGGCGGGAGUGGACCGCAUCAGCAGGAACCAAGAAGGAAGGUGGAGAUCGGUCUUUGAUUGAUCAUUUUUUUCAAGCUUGAUGUGGCAGCCUCCUAAUGUUAAGUGUUACCAAGCUCCUUGUGGCAGCCUCGUGAUUGAUUAUGAAUGUGGCAGUGUAAAGAAUGCAGUUUGGAACUAGCGAGCAGAGCCAGUUGAGUACAUACGAGAUGCCCAGUGGAAUAAGGCCAAGGCAAAGCUGCAGCCGACUUGAAGAAAGCGACAAAGGCUGAAGUUGACUACAUACCACUGCACCCAAAAGGCCAAACCAAAGAAAGCUUGGAAAGUUAGAGAAUGGCUUUGUUGUCAGAAAUAAAAAAGCGUGACAAUGAAGUGCUGAUUAAAGCAAAAAUGGAAAAAACCUUCUCCCACAGACGACGAGAGGUCGUUGAACAGAGGCCCAUGAUAGAUUAGGGAUUCAAAAACCGCUGGCCUGCCCUGUUCCAGCAGAGUGAAAUUAAUGAGGAGUUCUUGUGGAUCACUACAAAGCCACUGCAGUCCAAGUUUGUGUCACAACUGGACCACUUUUCACUCAAACUGAUGCACAUCUUCAAAAGCAAAGGAGGAGUGAAGGGGCAACGAAUCAAAGAAGUUCUGCCAAACAUACAUUUGGCCUCCGCCACUGAGGAUGCAGAAAGGGACAUUGCCCUCACAGUCAUGGGAUAUACAGUACAUCAUCCGUGGAGAUGGCGAUAGGCAGCCAGAGGAUGUGGGAGUUGUUACCGUAGGCUUUAAAGUCCUGAGCAACGUGGACACCGUCAUCAUGGGGGUCAUAAUGAUGUUUGGCCUCAUUUAUGCCCUUGAUCUAAACUUUGCAGACAACAUUUGAGUUUUUCCAGAAGAUCCUAAUGAACCUGGAUGGGCACAAGCUGAACACAAAGAUACAGCAGCUGGAAAUCAAGUUGCUUGCAUGAGAGGUGAACACUUGUUGACAAAGUUCAUCAUCGGAUCUUUAUUUUGGCUUGUAUUGUUUUUGCCUUCAUUUUCACCCAUUUAAGACAAUAUGACCUACAACAUUUUCAACUUGAGAAUUGGACUCAGAAUGGACUAAGUUCCAGGGAAGAAGAGGCUGUUUACUGAACUGCUGAAGUACACAAUCAACAUAUGAAAUGCAGUCCUGGGGAGUGGACAGAGAUGACUUUAGGGUUUGGACUGGAUGAACUUUACCUCCCCAUUUGAUCUCUGAGUGUGACUACCCUCCACACUUCUCUCCUCCGUUUCAUCACUCAACUCAGGAGAAAUGGAUUGAGUUCCAUUCAAGAUUUUGGAUUUUUAUAUAUAUUUUUGGAAUAGCUAGUACUGUCUCAUGUUUUUUUUUUACUUGCUUACAUUCAAAGGCUAUUUGCUCCUAACAUCCCAUUAAUAUCACAUUCCUGGUCUGUGAAUGUUAACUUUUUCUUAUUUAUUUUUGUUUCUUGCCAAUUUGAUGCAUGGGAAUUUUGUAUUUGCCUUCUUUUCUUUUCUUUACUGAACAAAGCUGAGAUAGGCUCCAGCAACCCCAAAAGGGACAAGCGGUAGAAAAUGGAUGGAUGGAACUCUAGUACAUUAAGGCUAAUGGCUACAUUAGCACACUUGCGCAGGACUCAAAUGUGUUUUUGCAGUUUCCUGAGUGUUCAUUUUACACCACUUUAAACUAUUUUGGAGAACCAUUUCUCGUAAAGUUUGCCUCGAGUUAUUUAAGAAAAGGUAAAACUGUUUAUUGGUGUUUUAUAUCUAAGACUGAGUUCUCUAUGCUUUGUAUCAAGUACAUUUGACAUCUUUGUUUAUAUAAAACUAAGUUCUUUGUCUGUGUUGGUACACAAAUCUGACAUCUUUAUGUAAAAUUGACUUCUUGAUGUUUUGUUUUCACUCAAAUGCAACAUUUUGUUUUGUGUUUGCAAGUAACUUUGACAUCUUGUGGUGUUAUAUUCAAGAUUGUUGAAUUAAGGAUUAUUCUACAUUUAAAAUACCAAC